rnacentral:tRNA from 1 species
UGGCGAGUAGCCUAGCGGCAAGGCAGCAGGCUGUUAACCUGCCGUGAGAAAUCACUCGGAGGUUCGAAUCCUCUCUCGCCAG